CCUCUGUGUAUUUAAACCCUGAGUUCUCCUCUGUUCUUCAUCUUCUACUGAAGUAAUGUUUGUUUCAUUAAAGGUAUCUUCAUUGUGCAUUCUGCUCUUUUUGGAUCGUUUAUACAUGUGACAAUAUCCUAUAUUUCUCAUUCAUUCGUUUAUCAUGUGCUGAUAUAACACUGUUUAAAGAAAUAUAUUGCAUGAGUUGUGAAAACUGCUACAUUCCUCCAAAGCACAAGAGAACAUGAUUUAAAUAGAGAGAGUCACUUUGCAUUGUCACACAUGCUUCAGUGCUCUGAGAGUGUUUAUAGUGCUGUGAGUUUAACACUUCAUGACUGAGAGCAGAACAGAACACAAUCUUCAUCAUCACACAAGACAAAAGAACAACAAUGAACACAAUCACCUUCUUCAUCUGGACUCUCACACUGUUUGCUCAAGAGUGUAGAGGACAGUACACUGUAACUCAGAGUCCAUCAAUAACAGCUCAACCAGGACAAGAAGUCAGAAUAAACUGUAAAACCAGCAGUGCAGUGCAUGGUGGUAAUUACUUACACUGGUACUUACAGAAACCUGGAGAAGCUCCUAAAUUCCUCAUAUAUUAUGCAACAAGCCGUUAUACUGGAACUCCAUCUAGAUUCAGUGGCAGUGGAUCUGGCAGUGAUUUCACUCUGACCAUCAGUGGAGUCCAGACUGAAGAUACAGGAGAUUAUUACUGUCAGAGUUACCACUGUCCUAGUAGCUGUGUGUUCACACAGUGAUAAAGAGUGGUACAAAAACCUCGGUCAGUCAGACGUCACAGUGAUGCACUGAUACAGCUGAGAGAUACUGCAGCUGCUGAUGGAGGAUCACAAACAACACAAUGACAAUGUUUAGCAAAGUUUCUAGAGACUUUUAAAAUUAAUAUAGUAAAUAUAAAUGUAUAUGUAGUCAUUUAUUUUAUAUGAAAUAAGCAUUAGUGCUGAUAUGAAUUAUGGCAGCACUGGGAUGUUUUAUUGUUUGUGUUUCAGAUCACAGUAAGAGAGCGAUGUGGAGUGAAGCAGAAAUAGCAGUUGUUUUUAAUGUGUUUUCUCUCACUCCAGGAUUGAAAGAAGUGGUUUCUUUCACCAGUGGUUGUGGGAAAAAUAUGCAUACUAACUAAUCAGAUUUAGUCUGAAAGGUAAGUUAGAAAUUCUUGCUUAUAGAAGUGUUAUAUAAAAGUAAUAUGACAUUCACAGUCUCUUCGUGUCUAUGGUAGAAUCAAAGCCGUGCUGAUAUUCAGUAUAACUGCACUCUUGAUCAUGUGAAACUGUUUAAAUGUGGAAGGAUGAAAAAACAGCACAACACCUUCAAUCUUUUAAACACAACUUCAUCAAGGGCGUGUAACACUAAUAAAAAUAUGGCAGUGUC